AAAAACAAACCCUAAGUAACCCCCAUACCAGCAAGAAUACAUCUAAGUAAAUCCUCUAGCCGCUUCAAAAAACAGAGAAAGAAAACCAAUCUUUUCUCUUCAAUAUUCGACCGACCGAUGGUCUCCCAAUCGACUGCUCUCCUGCCUCUCCUUUUGACCCAUAGAGUGGUCAAUCAAGGCUUCAUUGAACCAAGAAGAUUCGUGAGUCUUGCUCACAAACCCCAAAUCGCCACUUAGUUUCCAUUGUGGCGAAACAAGCGGGGAUUCGAAGGUGUCGAAACGCAGGUGAGUUUCUCUUCUUUCUUUUGCUUUUUUUCUUUUUUUUUUCCGAUGUAAAUGAUAAAGAAAUCUAUUGAAAUAGGUAAAAGGAAAAGAGGAUUAAAAGGAGGAAAAAAAUCACCUUCUCUGAUUUUCGAUUGCUUUCUAUAUUGCGUUUUUUGUGUGCGUAAUAUCGCGUGUGUUUCAUAAAAAAAAGGAGCAAUACAUUGCUUUCGGUUUUAUAGCCGAAAUCUCAAAAAAAUCAAAAUAAAAAAUACAAUUUUCUCUUCUUUUUCUAUUUGCUACUGUGGUUUGUCUGUUUCUUCGCAGGUACGAAGUAUGGGUGGCGUGAGUACGGGGGCUGGACUGGCGUACGGAGGCGCGGGCGUGGUUGCUGGAGGGUACGGAGGCUGGGGCUGCUGGAGCAGAGGCGUUGUCCAGUUCUUGGCUGCGGCGCAAAAUCCUAGCUAGGGUUUCUGCUUUGAUUUUUUAUUUUUGGGCUGUAGGGUAUUUGGGUCUAAGUUUUGGGUUGUGUUAGGUUUGGGCUAAGUUUGGGUAUUGGGUCAUUGUAAUAACUUUGGGCUUUGGAGUGUUAUAAAACUGGACUAUUAUAAUGUUUUUAUUAUAAUAAUUUUUGGUUUUAUGCUUAUACGAGCCUGGGCUAAAUUGGCCCAUUACACCUUGUUUUGCCUUGCUCUUCAAAGAAAAUGGGAACAACUGUAUGCGUAUGGCAUUAUCAGAAAUACCAUUAAUCUUGUAUGUGUCGCAAACCUAUAGAAAGUUAGCCAAAUGAGCAUUCAGAUCUUCAUCUGGCAACCCACCAAACUGAAUAUAUUGUUGUGCCAUCUGAAUUGUGUUCAGCUUCAGCUCAAAAUUGUUUGCAACAAUAGUUGGUCUCACAAUACUCGAUUUAGCCCCAAUCAAAGUAG
rnacentral:lncRNA from 1 species